rnacentral:rRNA from 1 species
UACGUAUGGAGCAAGCGUUAUCCGGAUUUACUGGGUGUAAAGGGAGCGCAGGCGGCUUUGCAAGUCUGAUGUGAAAGGCCGGGGCUCAACCCCGGGACUGCAUUGGAAACUGUAAAGCUAGAGUGCCGGAGAGGUAAGCGGAAUUCCUAGUGUAGCGGUGAAAUGCGUAGAUAUUAGGAGGAACACCAGUGGCGAAGGCGGCUUACUGGACUGUAAAUGACGCUGAGGCUCGAAAGCGUGGGGAGCAAACAGG